UGGGGAAUAUUGCACAAUGGGGGAAACCCUGAUGCAGCGACGCCGCGUGAACGAAGAAGGUAUUCGUAUCGUAAAGUUCUGUCCUAUGGGAAGAUAAUGACAGUACCAUAGAAGAAAGCUCCGGCUAAAUACGUGCCAGCAGCCGCGGUAAUACGUAUGGAGCGAGCGUUGUCCGGAAUUAUUGGGCGUAAAGGGUACGCAGGCGGUUUAAUAAGUCGAAUGUUAAAGAUCGGGGCUCAACCCCGCAAAGCAUUGGAAACUGAUAAACUUGAGUAGUGGAGAGGAAAGUGGAAUUCCUAGUGUAGUGGUGAAAUACGUAGAUAUUAGGAGGAAUACCAGUAGCGAAGGCGACUUUCUGGACACAAACUGACGCUGAGGUACGAAAGCGUGGGGAGCAAAUAGG
rnacentral:rRNA from 1 species